GGCAGCGCAGCGCGGGCUGACUGAAUUCGAGGUGGAGGUGGAUGCCACACACACGCUGUAAUAUUUGGAGAAAUAAGACCCGCUCUUGACUGUCCUUGGUGGCAAAUCCACAGCCUUUCGCUGGAGUAGAAUCAACCGUAUCUGAAGAGAGAGCUGAGGAAAUUAAACAAUGGCUGAGAAACAACACACAGCCCAUCAGCCAGGUGGAACAGUACAUCUGAAAAAUAUGUUUGAGAUCCUCCAUGAGUUUCCUCGGCUAACUACCUCAGGCAUGAUUGCACAGGACUUUCACAUUUUACAUCAAGAUGAAGCCCCAAAACUGUUUGAAAAAUGGCUGGUAUACUGACAGGAUCUUGCUUUUUGCGAAGCGAGAAGCAAAGCUUUCAUGUACAGCUGAAGAAAUGACAGAAGAUGCAAAGGGAAAUCUUGCACUAAAGCUGUUACCUGUUUUUCUUCUACCUCCACCCUACAAAAUUGGCAGAAAAACAGUCCGACCCAGCAAUGAUGAAAGCAAAAAAGCUUUCAUUGACAUUCAGCCUGUAAGUACGACUUACAGAAAUUUACUUCAAUCAUUUAAUGACUUCACCAGGUUGAAUACACUACCA